rnacentral:lncRNA from 1 species
GCCGGCUAGUGCCUAACCCUCCUCACUGUGCUGAGACCGAGCCCCGGAAUGAUCUACCGAGACCACCAGGCCAAAGAACGCCACUCCCAAGAGAGAAGAGACAAAGGACAAGAUCCUGCCCCUGGGAGGAGACAAGAGGCGCAAGAUCAGGGACAGGAAAGCGGCGGGGAGCAACGAACCUCUUCUGCGGGGUCAGCCAGGGGCCCGGGUGUGUGUGCUUGUGUUCCGUGUGCACCUGGCUCAGUGUCUGCAUGCACAUGUGAGCGCUGCACCCUCAUGCAGGGCGCUACCCGUGUGUCAGUGGAUAUGGAAGAAGGAGGUGUGAAAAGCUUUGAGGACACAGGCUCAUGGACCACCGGUGUCAGGAUCACCUGGAGCACAUGAUAAGAACUCAGCUUCCGGACUUCACCUCAGAUGCCCCCAGACCUGCUGAAUCACAGCCUGGAAGCAGGGCCCGAGAGUAGAGCCUCUGCAAAGCCCCUGAGGCUCAGGCACAGCUUGGGGAGCCACGGCCCUUGUAGGAGCAGGGACCAUACUCCAAACCACAAACCUUCUCUCCAGAUGACCAGGUGUCCUCAGACACACACAAGCUCUGUGACCUGUUGCUAGAGGAACCCCUGUGCUGGCCGAGCUGGGCCUGAACUGUGAACCAGGCUCUGCCAAUCACUCAUUAUGGGAACCCUAGCAAGUCACCUUGCACAUGUGCCUCCAUUUCUGCAGCCACAAAGUGGGGCUUGAUACUUGUUAUCUCGUCUCAUGAUUAUGAUAUAAGGUUCAAAGGAGAAAAGAAAAAUGGA